rnacentral:rRNA from 1 species
GACGAACACUGGCGGCGUGCUUAACACAUGCAAGUCGAACGGAAAGGUCCGGCGUUUGUGGGGUUCUCGAGUGGCGAACGGGUGAGUAACACGUGAGUAACCUGCCCUUGACUGUGGGAUAACUUCAGGAAACUGCGGCUAAUACCGGAUAGGAGCUCCUGCUGCACGGUGGGGGUUGGAAAGUGUCGGCGGUUGGGGCUGUCCUCGCGGCUUAUCAGCUUGUUUGUGGGGUAGUGGCUUACCAAGGCUUUGACGGGUAGCCGGCCUGAGAGGGUGACCGGCCACAUUGGGACUGAGAUACGGCCCAGAAUGCUACGGGCGGCAGCAGUGGGGAAUAUUGCACAAUGGGCGGACGCCUGAUGCAGCAACGCCGCGUGCGGGAUGACGGCCUUCGGGUUGUAAACCGCUUUCGCCUGUGCCGAAGAGUGAGUGACGGUAAUGGGUAAAGAAGCCACGGCUAACUACGUG